AUUGAACGCUGGCGGCAUGCUUUACACAUGCAAGUCGAACGGCAGCGCGGGGGCAACCCUGGCGGCGAGUGGCGAACGGGUGAGUAAUACAUCGGAACGUGUCCCGUAGUGGGGGAUAACCCGGCGAAAGCCGGACUAAUACCGCAUAUGCUCUACGGAGGAAAGUGGGGGACCCGCAAGGGCCUCAUGCUAUGGGAGCGGCCGAUGUCCGAUUAGCUUGUUGGCGGGGUAAAGGCCCACCAAGGCGACGAUCGGUAGCUGGUCUGAGAG
rnacentral:rRNA from 1 species